UGACGGCCCUAGUACGACCCUGAUGAUUUUGUAUCUUGAUCUGAGUACUCUGCUUUGGCUCGCUCGUUGUGGUUUAGAAAAGCACUUUGAAGAAAUGGUUGGUGACGACAUUCCUAACACCAAACCCGUGACUGGUUGGUGUUGUUUGGUGAACUCCUCCACCUGAACCGAGGACUCUUCUCGAUUCUACUUCUGCUCCAGGGUGAAGUUUAGACAACCAUAGUCACCUGGAGCAUCUUCCUAUCUCAUCAGUGGACAUUCAAAAGUUCAUAGCAAAGCUGGAACUUCUGACCAGGUACUGUC